CACUGAGCCACCCAGGCGCCCUUUUUUUCAUUUUUUUUAAAGGAAGGAACUUCAAAGUCUAGUAAAGAGAAUAAAGGAGUGUCUGACCUCACUCCUACUGAAAGAAAUGCAAAUAAAAAGCAAACUCUGCUUUUUCGCUGAUUAGAUUUACAAAGGUGAAACUUUUGCUCCAACGCAGCCAAACGACCUAGUAAUCCGGCUUCUAGAAGUCUCAGCUAACGAUACCCUUGCCCAAGUCCACAAAAAUACACGUGCAGGGAUUCCAGAUUGUUUAUGGUGGUAGAGGCACAGACAGAAAAGCCGGGAACGAUGCAGCUGCCGCCCCCAGAGUACCAGCUGAAGCUACGUAGAGCGUCUUCGUACUGUGUCGACACGGCAGUUUUGCCGAAGAGCAAAAAUAAAGCUCAUCUGCACGGAGCCCGGAAGGGGAGGUCGGCGAGUGUAGCUUGAGUCCUGGGAGGCGGCGGAGGUUCGUGGGGCCCGCUCCUGGCCGGGAAAGCGAGAAACGGUUCUUCUUGUUCUGUGCAGUUUGGAUGUCUUUGUAACGAGCAGAAAAACAACAGCCGGGAAUGCUUCGGUGUCACAGUUGCAGUCUGGUGAGGGGACACGGAACGAAGGCGGCCGAAGUCGCCCCUCUCUGCCCGCGGCUCGUGCGCCCGGGCUCUCCGCCCGCCUCUCCUCCGGCCUCUCCUCCGCCUGCGGAGCCGCGGCCCACCCGGGCCCUCCGGCCAGAGCCUCCCCCGGGCAGCCUGAAGCCUCCUCGGGCUUCCGCGGCAACGGGCGGCUCAGAGACCAGGACUUGGCUCUCGGGGAUCUUUAGGAAAAACGAAACCAGACCAGAACGACCCCCGCCCGCCGCUAGUGGAGGAGCUGGGUCGGAGCCCACUCGCUGCCUGGCCACGGCUCUGUCGCGGCGGGCGGUAAACCCGUGGCCGAGUUGAACAUCUUGCUAUUCUUUCUUUGUGAAGCCACCGCGCUGUGCUCACACUGACAGAGCUGAGGCCAGAAGCUGGGCUGUGCUGAGCCCCCGCGGGGGCAGGACGCGAGGCCAGAGCGUGAGGCAGGGUCGGGCGCGCUCGGAAGCGUGGCCGGGUCGGCGGUGGCCUGCCCGGGCCCAGGGCGCGCAGGGGAGACGGUACAGGGCAAAUGGGAGAAGACAAGAUGUGCUGGUUCUGGUUCCUCAAGGUGAAGCAAUACUGGAAGAGAUAAUGGCUUGGAAUUUUCCAAAACCCCAGACUGAAGGAGGUUACAAAAUUACGAGCAUUAAACAAUGUAGAUAUAAAGAAAACCAGAAGCCGGCACAGGACAGUCAACCUGCUGGAAAUCCCAGACAGAGGACUCUUCAAAGUGGCCCGGGAAGGCACUGUGACGGCCGCCGGCUCUCCAACGGAAAGACCAAAAGCUGAUAGGACAGUGCCUGUGGGGGUUGAAAGAGAAAGAUGGCCAACAUGCAGGUCCAUACCCAGAAGAGGAACCUUUAAAAGUGAAGGCAAAAAAAGAAAAAGAAGGAGGAGAAGGAGAAGAAGGUGGCGGGAAAAUCAAUACAUUUCCCGCCAAGGUUGGGGCCGCUCGAAGCUAACCAGCCCAUACUGUAAGAAGUGUAGCAGGGAGUUCUUUAAGCUGAGGGAAAUGAUCCUACACAUGAAAAGAGACUCAACAUCAUCGGUCAUUAAGGCUGUGGACAUUGAAAGUGCCGGAAGAUAGUACUUCUCACCGACAAGAAUGGCUGCCAUCAGACGGAUGGAUAGUACCAAGGCUUGACAAGAACAUGGAGAAACUGGAACUCUUGUCCACGGCUGGGGGGAUGAAUCCUAUCUUAAGAAAGUUGUCCAGGGCCACCUGGGUGGCUCAAAGCCCCGCAUCGGGCUCUCUGCUAAGCAGGAAACCUGCUUCCUCCUCUCUCUCUCUGCCUACUUGUGAUCUCUCUCUCUGUCAAAUAAAUAAAUAAAAUCUUUAAAAAAAAGAAAGAAAGAAAGAAAGUUGUCCAGGGGCGCCUGGGUGGCUCAAUGGGUUGGACCUCUGCCUUCAGCUUGGGUCAUGGUCUCAGGGUCCUGGGAUCGAGCCCCGCAUCAGGCUCUCUGCUCAGCGGGGAGUCUGCUUCCUCCUCUCUCUCUGCCUGCCUCUCUGCCUACUUGUGAUCUCUCUCUGUCAAAUAAAUAAAUAAAAUAAAAUAAAGAAAGUUGUCCAGGGUCCUACCGUA